rnacentral:rRNA from 1 species
GUCUACGGCCAUGCCACCCUGAAUGUGCCAGAUCUCGUCUGAUCUCAGAAGCUAAGCAGGGUCAGGCCUGGUUAGUACUUGGAUGGGAGACCACCUAGGAAUACCAGGUGCUGUAGGCA